UACGAAGGGUCCAAGCGUUAUCCGGAUUUAUUUGGGUUUAAAGGGUGCGUAGGCGGGUUGUUAAGUCAGUGGUGAAAUCUUGCAGCUUAACUGUAAAAUUGCCAUUGAUACUGACGAUCUUGAGUACACUUGAAGUGGGCGGAAUAUGUCAUGUAGAGGUGAAAUUCUUAGAGAUGACAUAGAACACCGAUUGCGAAGGCAGCUCACUAAAUUGUAACUGACGCUGAGGCACGAAAAGCGUGGGG
rnacentral:rRNA from 1 species